GCUCCUAUCGUUUAAUGGCUAGGACGUUGCUUUUUCGUGGCAUAAAUGUGGGUUCGAAUCCCACUAGGAGUA
rnacentral:tRNA from 1 species